AGCAAAACCCCAGGGAACAUUUAACAAAACGCUGAAAAGACCCAGCCAGCAAAGUCCAAGCACAGGUAAUAACACUGAACACCAGGAGGGGGCGUAGGAGCUCCCAGCUCAACCACAUUGGGAACAAUCCCAUCACUACUGACAGAAGCUUCAGACACAAUCAGUAGCUAUCAGUAGCAUACAGCAACAAGCUUCAAAAACGGGCUCAGACUGUG